CGAGAGGCCCAAACGUUAUUCGGAAUUACUGGGCUUAAAGAGUUCGUAGGCGGCAUGAAAAGCAGGGUGUGAAAGCCCUCGGCUCAACCGAGGAAUUGCGCUCUGAACUGUCGUGCUAGAGGAACCUAGAGGUGAGCAGAACUGAUGGUGGAGCGGUGAAAUGCGUUGAUAUCAUCAGGAAUACCGGAGGCGAAGGCGGCUCACUGGGGGUUUUCUGACGCUGAGGAACGAAAGCCAGGGGAGCGAACGGGAUUAGAUACCCCGGUAGUCCUGGCCGUAAACGAUGAGCACUAGGCCGGAGCCCUGCACAGGGUUUCGGCCGUAGCUAAAGUGUUAAGUGCUCCGCCUGGGGAGUAUGGUCGCAAGGCCG
rnacentral:rRNA from 1 species